AUAGGUGCCCGUACCGCAAACCGACACAGGUAGUCAAGAUGAGAAUUCUAAGGUGAGCGAGCGAACUCUCGUUAAGGAACUCGGCAAAAUGACCCCGUAACUUCGGGAGAAGGGGUGCUCUUUAGGGUUAACGCCCAGAAGAGCCGCAGUGAAUAGGCCCAAGCGACUGUUUAUCAAAAACACAGGUCUCUGCUAAACCGUAAGGUGAUGUAUAGGGGCUGACGCCUGCCCGGUGCUGGAAGGUUAAGAGGAGUGGUUAGCUUCUGCGAAGCUACGAAUCGAAGCCCCAGUAAACGGCGGCCGUAACUAUAACGGUCCUAAGGUAGCGAAAUUCCUUGUCGGGUAAGUUCCGACCCGCACGAAAGGCGUAACGAUUUGGGCACUGUCUCAACGAGAGACUCGGUGAAAUCAUAGUACCUGUGAAGAUGCAGGUUACCCGCGACAGGACGGAAAGACCCCGUGGAGCUUUACUGUAGCCUGAUAUUGAAAUUCGGCACAGCUUGUACAGGAUAGGUAGGAGCCUUUGAAACGUGAGCGCUAGCUUACGUGGAGGCGCUGGUGGGAUACUACCCUAGCUGUGUUGGCUUUCUAACCCGCACCACUUAUCGUGGUGGGAGACAGUGUCAGGCGGGCAGUUUGACUGGGGCGGUCGCCUCCUAAAAGGUAACGGAGGCGCUCAAAGGUUCCCUCAGAAUGGUUGGAAAUCAUUCAUAGAGUGUAAAGGCAUAAGGGAGCUUGACUGCGAGACCUACAAGUCGAGCAGGGUCGAAAGACGGACUUAGUGAUCCGGUGGUUCCGCAUGGAAGGGCCAUCGCUCAACGGAUAAAAGCUACCCCGGGGAUAACAGGCUUAUCUCCCCCAAGAGUUCACAUCGACGGGGAGGUUUGGCACCUCGAUGUCGGCUCAUCGCAUCCUGGGGCUGUAGUCGGUCCCAAGGGUUGGGCUGUUCGCCCAUUAAAGCGGUACGCGAGCUGGGUUCAGAACGUCGUGAGACAGU
rnacentral:rRNA from 1 species